AGCUACAGUCACUGACAGCCAUAUCAUAGCACUGAAAAAAGAACACAUAUUUUAAGAUUUUUUAAAGUAAAACGGAAGAUUUGACGAUAUUUGUAUAUUUAUUAUAUAGCGUGACGUUUUACUUCAAGGAGAUACAAUGCAUUUUACAUUACAAAAGCGAAAUAAGACGUGGAAACAAGCUAUCAAUUUGAGCAUCGUGGGAUUGGUGGUUUAUAUUAUGGCCUGCCCUGCGUCUAGUAUGGAUGUCCUGGUCCAUAACCAGAUCAACGUCCUGAAUGGCACCAUGGUGAGGAUCCAGUGCAUCUUCACCUCCUGCUACAAGAUGGAUGUCAACAAGUUUGCCAUGAACUGGACCUACCAGGAGAACACCAACGAGACUGAGGAGAUGUUCAUGACCUAUAAGAAGGGGAUGAUGCCCCUGCGGACGGACCGGUUCAGUGACCGGGUGCAGUUUGUGGGUAACCUGGAAAAAAACGACUUGUCCAUCACCCUCUCUGAUGUCCAGCUGUCAGACGAGGGCAUCUACAACUGCUACGUCCGCAACCCCCCUGACCGCAUCCAGGGCCACGGAAUCAUCAGCAUGUUUGUCGUCACAGAAUUGCCUCCCCCGCGGGACUCGACCAUAGCGGUGGCGAUCGGGGCGUCAGUCGGCGGUGCGCUGGCUCUGCUCAUCCUGUCCAUGGUGGUGGUGAAGUGUAUACGGCGCCACAAGAAACAGGAGCUCAUCUCUGACGAGCAGAAGAUGGAAGAAGAGGGCAAGCUGGAUGCAGAGGGGGGCACCGAGGAGGGAACCAAGCAGCUAUAACCGGCCUGCAUGGUCCUGGAGGCCCAACGUUCGCUGGAGCCCCACUCCCUCCCUCACACUGAAAAGCAUUCCUGCCUGAAGAUGUAUAGUGACCCUUGCUUGAAUCCUCGUCCAGCAUCUGCCUCACCCCACGCCGCCUCCCUCUUGUCCAGCCAAACAAGAUUGCAGUUAUGGGAAGCCCCAGCCACCAGCCACGCCACCCAUGCCACCCCUGCCUCUAUCUUCAGUCAGCCAUCUUAGCUCCUCUCUUCUUUGACGGGAAGCCACAAAAGGUGGAGGAGACUAGUGGACGGUAGCCUCCAAACGACAUUCCUCUUUCCCCUUUUUCUCGCUUCUAGUCUCUCUAAAUAUACAGAUGUAGGAUUUUAAUUUGAACACCCUGUUGCAGGAUAAAUGUGUACUGUAUUUGAGGUUUAA